rnacentral:rRNA from 1 species
GAUGAACGCUGGCGGCGUGCCUAAUACAUGCAAGUCGAGCGAACAGACGAGGAGCUUGCUCCUCUGACGUUAGCGGCGGACGGGUGAGUAACACGUGUAUAACCUACCUAUAAGACUGGGAUAACUUCGGGAAACCGGCGCUAAUACCGGAUAAUAUAUUGAACCGCAUGGUUCAAUGGUGAAAGACGGUGUUGCUGUCACUUAUAGAUGGAUCCGCGCCGCAUUAGCUAGUUGGUAAGGUAACGGCUUACCAAGGCAACGAUGCGUAGCCGACCUGAGAGGGUGAUCGGCCACACUGGAACUGAGACACGGUCCAGACUACUACGGGAGGCAGCAGUAGGGAAUGUUCCGCAAUGGGGGAAAGCCUGAUGGAGCAACGCCGCGUGAGUGAUGAAGGUCUUCGGAUCGUAAAACUCUGUUAUUAGGGAAGAACAAAUGUGUAAGUAACUAUGCACGUCUUGACGGUAACUAAUCAGAAAGCAACGGCUAACUACGUG